ACUCCUUCUAAAGCUAAAUAUCACCACGAGACCGAUAGCGAACAAGUACCGUGAGGGAAAGUUGAAAAGCACUCUGAAUAGAGAGUCAAAAAGUACGUGAAACUGCCUAGGGCUCAAGCCCGUUGAACUCGAUUAUCCGAGCGGAGACAUUCACCUGCGGUUGGCCGGCGACGGCACGGCCGCAGGGCACUUGUCUCUCGCACUAGCCAAGAGGACACUGCGAUCCAUUACGAAACAGCUUUCGCGCCGCAAGGCGCAAGGUCGCCCGACAACUGCCCCCUGGUGCUGGUUGCUUGCCCCACAGUAGCGACGCUCAGUUCUGAAGGCCUGUGCCGCGAGGUGGGGCUUACUGCACGUGGUGUUCUAGCAGUCGGGCGCGUGAUGGAUUCCCCCGGACACCGGGUGGUCUUCCCGUAAGGGGCCACCGGACUGUCGAUCGGCAGUGAAAGAAUCGAGGUACCUUCGGGACCCGUCUUGAAACACGGACCAAGAAGUCUAUCUUGCGCGCGAGCCAAUGGUCGUCCUCCGGAGCACCAAAGGCGCAGAAAACAUAACUUGAGUUGUGCGGGAUUACGGGCGCGGCUCUCUGCUCGUCCCUCCAUCCCCGGGUGUUGUAAUCGGCAUGCGGCUACCGGGACCMAGGCUUCACGGCCCCCGGCACCGUGCCACAACAUACCGUGAGUGUGCAGGAUGUGACCCGAAAGAUGGUGAACUAUGCCUGAUCAGGUUGAAGUCAGGGGAAACCCUGAUGGAGGACCGAAGCAGUUCUGACGU
rnacentral:rRNA from 1 species